UGGGGAUAUGGCUCAGUUGGUAGAGUGUGGGCCUCUCAAGCACAAGGCCCUGGGUUCAAUCCUCAGUACUACAA